rnacentral:lncRNA from 1 species
AAAAGCAAAAGAAAAGGACGCUAAGUCAAAAUCUUGGAAACAAGAUUGACUUAGGAAAAAGUUAGGGAAUCCCGAUGGACUGCAAACCCAAAGGAUCAGUCCAGGCAAAAAUAAGGGAAAACAAAAUAAAAGAAAAAGAUAGAAUCAAUAACAAAUUCCUCAGUAAGAGAAAAUCCAUGUGGUCGCAAACAAAAGUAGAAGGUGAGUGGCUAUCACUCCAAAAACUCAUUGGGUUCCAUGACCAUC